UGCUGCUUCACCCACCACCACACCGCCGCCCCACGCCCUACUCACCACCACCUCUUGGCCACCGAACCAUCACCACCCGCCGCUUGUCUGACGAGCUGUCUCGCCAUUGAGCCCGACAAGCUAUCGCACCGUCCGCGCCGCCCCUCGAUGCCUCUCGGCCCCUCGACGCUGCUCGACCCCCUCGACGCCCGCUUGGCCCGCUUGACACCCUUGAUGCUCCCUCGACGCCGCACGACCCCCUCGACGCCCACUCGACCCCCUCGACGCCGCCUGAUGUCCCUUGAUACCGCUCGCCACCCUCGACACCUAAGAAACUCGCCUCCUCCAACUUCAAUCACAGGUCUAAUCUCUUGUUGUUUCUGCUCUUAACUGUUAGAUCUAAUAUAACAUUUUAGCUGCUUUAUUUGGUCGAUUUCUAAGAUGUGAGUGUCAUGCUUGUGUGCCCUAAUCCAAGUACAUACAUAGUGAGGGAAGGGAAUUUGUGGGGUUGUGUCACGUAGGUUCUUCCGUAUCCCAAAAUAAGACCAAGAUGGCUAUUCUGGGAUCUUCAUCUUACUAUUCAGUGGCUAUUGUUGGGGUUGUUCUUGUUCUGGUUUUGAAUGGGGCUGAUUUGUGCAAUGGAGGGAAGACCAGCACUUUUUUCCAUAAAGUAGAGAAAACUGUGGACAUGCCUCUAAAUAGCGAUGUUUUCCGAGUGCCUCCUGGCCAUAAUACCCCUCGACAUGUCUCAACUGAGUUUGUCUUCUUGCUUUUUCUUUCAGUAUAGCACAAGCUACAAGCUUUUCCUUCUGUUCAUUCGUGACUUAUGAAAUGGUUGACAUCUAUGUGUAUACACACUAGGAUGAGCUAGAGUCGCAUUAAUUUGGUUUCAGAUUCGAUGUGAAUUAAUGUUAGAGGUCACUGUUGUUAAUUUUGUUCUAUUCGUUGUGGUUUUUUAUUUGGUUUUGAUUUUGGUGCGAGUCUUUAAGUACAUAUUACCCAAUGAGAUCAUGUGGGAAAAGGAGUGAUUAUGUCAUGGGUGACUCCGGAUGAACCUGGGUCCAAUGUAGUGCCAAUGCAGUGCGUUACUGGAGUGAAAAUAGCGAGCACAAGAAAAAGGCAAAGGGCAAAGUUAAUCAUUAUAAGUUCUACAAUUAUACUUCUGGCUACAUCCACCAUUGCACCCUCAAAAACUUGAUGGACAACACUAAAUACUAUUAUGAGGUUGGAAUUGGACACACGGUCCGACAAUUCUGGUUCAUUACUCCUCCAAAGGGGAUCUUGGUCAAACUUUUGAUUCAAACCGAACACUCGCCCAUUAUGAGCAUAAUAUGCAGAAAGGACAAACUCUAUUGUAUGUUGGAGACUUGUCAUACGUGGAUGAUUAUCCCGACCACGACAAUGUGAGAAGGUGGGAGACAACCAUUGGACUGGGCAUCGCGGGUGAAGAUUUCUCUAGGAGUGGCUAAAGGCAUUGCUCACAUCCAUUCGGCCAGAGGUGGGAGGUUUAUCCAUGGCAACAUACCUUGAAGGUUGCAUCUCAUAUUUGGCCUGACUCCUCUGAUCUGCACUCCUACAGUGCCUCCUAGAACUAGAAGUGUAGGUUAUCGGGCUCCCGAAGUCAUGAAAACUCGGAAACCCAGACAUUUACAGUUUUGGAGUACUGCUCCUUGAAGGAUUGUCAAGGUGUCGGACCCAUUAUGGUGAGUUCAAGCUAUUUUUCUGUGUUAAUCAUGAUUUGAAGGAUAAGCUCAAAAAAAGAGUGAGGAUUAAGAGGUAUAAUAUUGUUUA